ACGGAGGGUCCAAGCGUUAUCCGGAAUCAUUGGGUUUAAAGGGUCCGUAGGCGGGAUGAUAAGUCAGUGGUGAAAUCUCUCGGCUUAACCGAGAAACUGCCAUUGAUACUGUCGUUCUUGAAUUUGGUCGAAGUGGGCGGAAUAAGUAGUGUAGCGGUGAAAUGCAUAGAUAUUACUUAGAACACCGAUAGUGAAGACAGCUCACUAGGCCUAAAUUGACGCUGAGGGACGAAAGCGUGGGGAGCGAACAGG
rnacentral:rRNA from 1 species